rnacentral:rRNA from 1 species
AAGAGUUAAGAGGACGUGAAACCGGUGAGGAGGAAACGGAUAGAGUCGGCGUAUCUUGCAAGUAUUCAAUUACUUUAUUAUUGUGUUGUGAUCUCUGAGCUCCAGAUUGGGACAGAGGAAAGCAGCAUGAUUUUUUGUGAUGCAUUUGCUUGCCUGGUGUGUGGGGGUAUCUGAGAUGGAUUUGCUGCCAAUGUUUUGAGGCCAGCUUGCUGGUACCCAAACGUUGUUUACAUUUUUUAUCUUGGAUAUUCUAAUACGGCUUACCUGCAUUUUUUGGAUUCAACUAAGUGGAAGUUACCGUCGCCUGCCACCCGUGCUUUUCAUUUACUUCCGUGCAGUUAAUGCUCUCGUACCCUCCCCCCAAGUAAAAGCCGGGCAUUUAUUUCAACCGUCCUGAAACCCCGACCAAGGGGUUUUUCCUGUGCGCAAGUUUUUGGGUGUUAAAAACCUACAAGCGAAAUGAAAGUAAAUGAUUCUUUAUAGUCUGAUGUGCAAUCUUUUUUCAAAAAAGUGCAUCAUGGCCCCCAUUCUAACUGUUUACAGUAAGGUGGCGGAAGAGCGUACGCGGUGAGACCCGAAAGAUGGUGAACUAUUCCUGAGCAGGACGAAGCCAGAGGAAACUCUGGUGGAAGUCCGAAGCGGUUCUGACGUGCAAAUCGAUCGUCUGACUUGGGUAAUAGGGCGAAAGACUAAUCGAACCAUCUAGUACUGUUCCCCUUUCCCAAACCUC